rnacentral:rRNA from 1 species
AGAGGAGCCUGAGAGACGGCUACCACAUCCAAGAAGGCAGCAGGCGCGUAAAUUACCCAAUCCUGACACAGGGAGGUAGUGACGAUAAAUAACAAUGCCGGGCUUUCUAAGUCUGGCAAUUGGAAUGAGAACAAUUUAAAAUCCCUUAACGAGGAUCAAUUGGAGGGCAAGUCUGGUGCCAGCAGCCGCGGUAAUUCCAGCUCCAAUAGCGUAUAUUAAAGUUGUUGCAGUUAAAAAGCUCGUAGUUGGAUUUCUGGUCGGAGCGAUCGGUCCGCCUCAUUCGGGGUGUGUACUUUGUGUCGCCUCCAGCCAUCCUUGAGGCGAGCUGUCCUGGCAUUGAGUUGUUGGGGCAGGGAACCUCAUCUUUUACUGUGAAAAAAUUAGAGUGUUUAAAGCAGGCUUACGCCGUUGAAUACAUUAGCAUGGAAUAAUAAGAUAGGACUUUGGUGGUCUAUUUUGUUGGUUUGCACACCGAAGUAAUGAUUAAGAGGGAC